GAUGAACGCUGGCGGCGUGCCUAAUACAUGCAAGUCGAGCGAACAGACGAGGAGUUUGCUCCUCUCACGUUAGGGGCUGGCGGGUGAGUAACACGUGGAUAACCCACCUAUCAUACUGGUAUAUUUUCGGGAAACCGGAUCUUAUACCGGAUAAUAUACUGAACCGUGUGGUUCAAUAGUGAAAGACGGUUUUGCUGUCACUUAUCGCUGGAUCCCCGCCGCAUUAGCUAGUUGGUAAGGUAACGGCUUACCAAGGCAAGGCUGCGUAGCCGACCGGACAGGGUGAUCGGCGACACUGGAGCUGAGACACGGUCCAGACUCCUACGGGAGGCAGCAGUAGGGAAUCUUCCGCAGUGGGCGGAAGUCUGACGGAGCAACGGCGCGUGAGUGAUGAAGGUCUUCGGAUCGUGAAACUCUGUUAUUAGGGAAGAACAAAUGUGUAAGUAAAUAUGCACGGCUUGACGGUACCGGAUCAGAAAGCCACGGCUAACUACGUG
rnacentral:rRNA from 1 species